rnacentral:tRNA from 1 species
GUCUUAAUUAGUGUAAUGGUUAGCAUGCUCACCUUGAGUGUGGUAGAUCGUGGGUUGGAGCCCCGAUCGAGUCA